GGUCGAUUGGUCUAGUUGGUCAUGACGUGGGUAUGUUUAUCCCAAGGUCACCAGUUCGAUCCUGGUAUCGACCA